rnacentral:rRNA from 1 species
UACGUAGGGUGCAAGCGUUGUCCGGAAUUAUUGGGCGUAAAGAGCUUGUAGGCGGUUUGUCGCGUCUGCUGUGAAAAUCCGGGGCUCAACCCCGGACUUGCAGUGGGUACGGGCAGGCUAGAGUGUGGUAGGGGAGACUGGAAUUCCUGGUGUAGCGGUGGAAUGCGCAGAUAUCAGGAGGAACACCGAUGGCGAAGGCAGGCCUCUGGGCCACUACUGACGCUGAGAAGCGAAAGCAUGGGGAGCGAACAGG